AGGGGUGUCAGGUAGCGCGCAUGGCUGGGGGCCAUGAGGUCGCAGGUUCGAAUCCUGUCGCUCCGA
rnacentral:tRNA from 1 species